UGCCUCUUGUAUCUGAGCAACGUUGACCCAUAUUCAUUUCCUGAAGUGGGAAAUUUACACAUGUGCUACUAAUUUGGAUUAUUCAAAGAUUAAAAAGGAUGUUUACUUACCACAGCUUUCCGGUAUGUGUGAAUUCAUAAGACCAAGCUCCCAAGCUCGCUUUAUAAGUGGAACAGGAUACUGAAACAGACAUGGAAAAAUCACCUUCUGAUUCAUCACAACCAAAACUUUAAAUUUCAUGCAGGUUAAGAUAAAAGUCUGUUUCAUCCCAAUUUUUCCCUUACACUGUGGUAGAAUUUACCUCUCCGGUUUUGUCAUAUUGUGCAGCAACAGGAAUAAUUUCCUCCACAGCAAAUUUACGAGCAGUAGCUUGAAACUCUUUCUGCUCAUCAGUAAGUUCUAUUUUAAAAAAGGAAGAGAAAAAGAUCAUAAAUCCUCUGCUGUCUUUUACUUUGCCAAUUGUCAAGACUACGAUAAAAAAAAAAAAAAACAACAAGAGCAUCCUUCCAGGACAACCCAAACCCCAAACCACUAUUUGGGGCUCUUCAGGAAGCAAAAAAGUUCAGGUUCCUCUUCCUCCUGGGAGAAAACCUCCACUGUUCUCUGAUCAACCCCUAUAUGCACUUACUUAUGUCUGAUGAAAUUAUCCACAAAAUAUUGAAAAUGAAGCAGAGAGGACUAUGCAACAUAAAGUGUAUUACCAGAAGAAAUAAAAAGAAUGCUGUGCUAAUUAAAAGCAUAAAAAGACUGAGGUUACCCAAAUAUCUUGACUCUUCAACUUCAAACAUCUAGCUCUGAUCCUCUAAAUUUGCUUGUACAUAUAUAUUAUAUAUAAUAUGCCAAGAUGAAGAUAAAUUUAUUUUUUUACAUUUCUUGAUAACCAAAUUCAACUAUGACUACAUUUAGGUACUGUAACAUUGAAAACAGCAAUAUGAGGAGCAGCCCUUGAUAGACUAAUGCGUAACUUUACCACCAAAAGGUUUUGCCUACACCUGGAAAAGUACUUGAUUCAAACUAAUGCUACAAGUGAUACCCUAUAUGAAAGAAGCUGUAAAAUUUAAACCAGUUAAAUUAUGCCUAUUGUAUAGUAUGCAAGGUAACACUGAAGAUUACUCUGGAAAAACUCAGCAAUACCUCCACAAACAACUGUGGACAGAUGUGACUCAUACCUGGAAGCUGCAUCACUGAUCAGAUGACAAAGGAUGAGGGUUUGCUACAUGUAAGAAUUUGGAUGACCAUCUGUCUACUUGUCAACUUUCCCGUUGCUUGACUCUGAGAAACAGUUGGAUUCAGUGACAAACUACUGCUAGUGAUGUUUAGAUACAACUCCUACUGCAUUUCUUUGCACUACUGUAUAAACUCUAUUACAAUUACAAAUAUGACCAUCAGUGUAGCAAGACUAACACUGGAAGAAUAUGCUGUCAGGAGAAGGGUAUGACAAGGCUACUCACGAAAGUGAUGCAUUUAUUUAUUACCUUGAUGGCAAAAGAACUAUAGAACCUGUUUGAAAAGAUGUACGUCACAGGAAACGCUGGGACAACAACAAGCUAAGGGUCGCUAACCUUGAUUCUGCCUCACGUAUCUCAGGGCAAAAUGGAAAAUAAUUAUCAAGAGCAGUUUGUUGCUGGGGUAACAUGUCAGGAGGCUGAACUUGAAAUAGUAAUUUCCUCCCUAUGGGCUUCCUUUGCCUAAAGCAUUACUUUUGAUCCAUAAGAUACCAACUUCAGAUGGAGACUUCUUCCCUCACUGACUUCCCUCACUCUUAACAGGAACACUUAGGACCUGCGGCCAAGCUGCAUACAUUUGGGGCAAACUAAUACUGCUGCUAGGAGGCUGUGAAGGGCCAUUCAAGUAAUUCAGACUCAUGAAUACCUCUGGAAAUGGGGAAUCCAGAAAAAGACAUGUGUCGUGCUAGAUGUGUUUUGAAUAGUUUUAAUUUUCUAGUUUGAAGCUGUGAGGUUAUUGGUGGUUCACUACAGUAGAAGGUUUGUACUUUAGAAAACCAACUAUUAUAUUUCACACAUAUUUUUAGAAAAUUAACGUAGGUAGUUAAUAGAUAUCACAGCUAUGUAUGCUAAAGGAAAUGCAUUGAAUAAAAUACCCUGAACUCUAA